AUGCAGAAAAAUAUCCUUGUGGAUUAUGGACUCCGACGAAUCACAUUCUUGAUUGCCCAAGAGAAAGAAUUUCCCAAGUUUUUCACAUUCAGAGCAAGAGAUGAGGUAUGGCCAAAAGUAAUGAUGUUUUCUCUUCUCUAGCAUCUUGUUUUAUUUUUUAAGAGAUGGGAUGGGGCCGGGUGUGGUGGCUCAAGCCCGUAAUCCUAGCACUUUGGGAGGCUGAGGCAGGAGGUUUGCUUGAGCUCAGGAGUUCUAGACCAGCCUGGGUUAUAUAGUGAGACCCUGUCUCUACAAAAAAAUUAAAAAAUCAGCCUGGCAUUGUGAUGCAAGCCUGUGGUCCCAGCUACUUGGGAGGCUGAGGUGGGAGGAUUGCUUGAACCUGGGAAAUAGAGGUUUCAGUGAGCCAAGGUGAUUCCACUGCACUCUAGCCUGGGUGACAGAGUGAGACUCUGUCUCAAAAAAAAGGAAAAAAAAGAGAUGGGGUCUCACUAUGUUGCCCAGGCUGGACUCGAACUUAUGGCUCAAGCGAUUCUCUUGCUUCAGCCUCCCGAAUAGCUGGGACUAUAGGCACAUGCCACCGUGCCUCCCAGCUCCCUGGCAUCUUUGAUAUUCAUGAAGAAUAUAGUCUGCAGUCCUUAAGGCAUCCCCAUAUUCAAGAAUGUAGCAACUUUUGUGUAGACUGCAGUCUUCCUCUGGGAUUGUAUUUCCAUUGAGAGCCCUCUGUUCCCUGCAUGGCACUCAGACCUGAGAAUCUUGCCCUUUCAGCCUCACUACAGGUUUCUGUCUUGCUUGAAUAAUUUUCAGUACUUGCUGAUGUACUCAGUAAGACAUUUUU
rnacentral:lncRNA from 10 species